GUACAAGCUGGCAGAAUUGUGGCAGCAAGGCUAUUUUGGUAAUUUCACCCUUGAUCCUUAUCUAUUAGACCCCAGCUCGACCAAGGAUGUUCAGAUAUGCAUGUUUGAGCUCAGAGAAGUGCUCUUCCUUCUCCUUUUCUCUCUCUCUCUAGGGUUUCUCUCUCUCUAUGAAGAAAUCGUCGAUUUUGCUCUUUUUCGUCGCCGCGUUUGUUCUUCGCUGUUUGCGAGCGUCGCAGAGCUUACGUGGACAUGUGAGAGAGUAAUUUGGAAGGCUUUUCGCAGUCCUGAACCAGUAGCUCACUGGUGGGAAGUCUGAGAAGGUUUUCGAACCUAAUUGAAUGUAAUUAGUGAUCUUGGGGAUUAGUGUAGAAGGUGUUUUAACCCGAGGAAAGCAAGAAUUUCAGCGAUAGCGCUUUUGACCUUGGGAUCAUCUUCUGUUGGCAUUGGAGUGUCAUUAGGGGCUUAACUUGAGCAGGAUUGCAGCCUUGUUGAGCUUUAUAUUGGGACUUUUUGUGGCUGAUUGGAGCUUCAUAAUAGGUGGGUCGGACCUAACCAGAGCAAGUGGAGCUCCCCUAUGUUCUAUAUAUACCAUGGAAUCAAUGUUGUAGUGGGCUUUUGUGUACUCGAUACAAAACUUGAGACGAGUCGCUAUACUUGAGUAUAGUUGAAUUGCAAUUUCUUUAUUAUGUUCCUAGAACUAGAAAACAAUGACAUGCUUGUAGAGAACAGUGACAUUCUCUUGACUACACUAAAGUAGAGAACAAGAACAUGCUUGAAGCCUAUAUUAGUCUUACAUGUUACUAGUGGAUACUAGCUAUUGUUCAUAUGCUUGAUCUUUUUAUACUGAAAUUCCGAUCAAGGAUCGAUGUGGAAUGAUACUCGAGACAUAUUGGACUGUGAAUUAUGCUUG